AUACGGAGGGUGCAAGCGUUACUCGGAAUCACUGGGCGUAAAGCGCGCGCAGGCGGCCAUUUAAGUUGGAUGUGAAAGUCUACGGCUUAACCGUAGAACUGCAUCCAAAACUAUUUGGCUAGAGUGUGGGAGAGGAAGAUGGAAUUAGUUGUGUAGGGGUAAAAUCCGUAGAGAUAACUAGGAAUACCAAAAGCGAAGGCAAUCUUCUGGAACACUACUGACGCUGAGGCGCGAAAGCGUGGGGAGCAAACGGGAUUAGAAACCCCGGUAGUCC
rnacentral:rRNA from 1 species